CCAAAAUGUGCAAAACAGGUAUCUCGAUCCCCAAUGAGGUGGGGGGUACAUGAUACCUAUUUCAAAAUGAUAUACUUUGUAGUAUCAAAGAUAAAAAAAUGACAAUAUCAAGCUGCUAAGCGAUACAGUAUAUGGAACUGCAGGCUCGGAUAAUAUGUACAAUAGAUCGUGAUGAACUGAAGCAAAGUAAACCGGAUAGGUAAUCAAAAAGAGUCCAGUUUAUUAAACAUUAAAAAUAUAUAAAAGAUAGUUAAAAUAUAAACCAGAAACAGUUCAUAAGUGCAUUACCAGGCUCUAGUAAAUCAAAUGCCAGCAAGGACCUUCGGAUUAUAAGAGGAUGGAUCUGGAUACUGUUGGUGAGUAGCUGGUAUUCCUGCUGCCGGUGAGGAGGGCGUGAUUCUGAGUGCACGUUCCGAACAGAAGCCUCACUCUCAGACACGUGCAAAACAGGUGAUGCCGGUUACUGCUGUUACCAAAGGUCCUGCUUGGGAAGUUGAACUGUUGCUGGUGACUGCAAUCUGUGUCUUGCCUUUGCAAUCUGCCUGGAGUUACACACUUUAUUUUUAAGGUGAUUUUUAUCUGUCUUUUAUUUCCGACUAUCUAUUCCAGUGGAUUAUACCCUUAUUAUUGGAACGCUCUUUCUCUUAUAUUUAUUUUUUACUGUUUUAUUGACGCAGCCUUGCCUGUCUUUUUACUAUUCUGUGUUCUUUGAAGGGUUGGAGGGAUCCCCUUCGUUAAAGGACCACUAUAGUGCCAGGAAAACAUACUCGUUUUCCUGGCACUAUAGUGCCCUGAGGGUGCCCCCACCCUCAAGGACCCCCUCCCGACGGCUCUGGAAGGGGGAAAGGGGUAAUAACUUACCUUUUUCCAGCGCUGGGCGGAGAGCUCUCCUCCUUCUCUCCGAUCCGCCCCGCCGGCUGAAUGCGCACGCGCGGCAAGAGCUGCGCGCGCAUUCAGCCCGUCGCAUAGGAAAGCAUUUACAAUGCUUUCCUAUGGACGCUUGCGUGCUCUCACUGUGAAAAUCACAGUGAGAAGCACGCAA